rnacentral:lncRNA from 1 species
CAAGAGUUUCAUAAUAAUUGUUCAAGAAUUUCGUCAAAAAUCUUAAACUUGCAUAGAUGUAUUCAUUUAUUCUGCAAAUAGUUGUCAAUGGAACUUUGAAUACGAGAUCUAGCUUAUUUUGUUAACAGUAAUAUUAAGAUCAUAUUUUCUGUGCUCAUCCAAUAGCAUACCAAAUUCGGGAUUUUUUUUACAUUCUUUAUUGUUACUGUGGGGUCUUGAAGCAGAAGGAGAUUUUACUCGUUGGUGUCAAUUAUUUGGAGUUUUAUCUUAAAAUAUCAAUCUUAUUAAAAAGAGUAAUACAAACUCUUAUGUAUUGGUCUAUGUUAAUUUGUGAUCCAAAUUCAUUUCAGGAUGUCAAAAUAUGGUUAAAGGAUGUUUGGGGCAGAGAAUAGAAGCCCAAGCGCCCAAUCCUUGCGCCUAGGUGCCAUUCGAGUAAAGAAACAGAUCUUGGACAAAGUUUUAGCGUUAGAGGGAGCGUUGGACUGUUAAUCGCUUGCCACUCGAUUGGAUCUUAAGCAUCGGUCAUCGCUGAAUGAGCGCAAGCUGCUUGAGCGGUCGUGUUAUCCAAGAAAAUUUUGUUUUCAUUUUUCUGACUCGUUUUUUAUCCUCUUUCCAACUAAAAUAUGUCCUUUUGGGUCCUAUAUAUCUUCUAUGUGAUUUUGGCCUUGUAUAG